rnacentral:tRNA from 2 species
GUUCAUGUAGCUUAAUACCAAAGCAAAGCACUGAAAAUGCUUAGAUGAGCUCUAAGAGCUCCAUAAACA